AUACUUACCUGGACGGGGUCGAUGGGUGAUCAUGAAGGCCUAUGGCCUAGGUCAGUGACUUCCAUUGCACUUUGGAGGGGUGCUGUCCUAAGGUCUCCCCAAGUGGGAGAGCCUACGUCAUAAUUUGUGGCAGUGGGGGCCUGCGUUCGCGCGGCCCCUCC
rnacentral:snRNA from 1 species